rnacentral:rRNA from 1 species
AGGAAUAUUGGACAAUGGUCGAAAGACUGAUCCAGCCAUGCCGCGUGCAGGAUGACUGCCCUAUGGGUUGUAAACUGCUUUUAUACGGGAAGAAAAACACCUACGUGUAGGUGACUGACGGUACCGUAAGAAUAAGGACCGGCUAACUCCGUGCCAGCAGCCGCGGUAAUACGGAGGGUCCAAGCGUUAUCCGGAAUCAUUGGGUUUAAAGGGUCCGUAGGCGGGCUAUUAAGUCAGAGGUGAAAGUUUGCAGCUCAACUGUAAAAUUGCCUUUGAUACUGAUAGUCUUGAAUUGUAGUGAAGUGGUUAGAAUAUGUGGUGUAGCGGUGAAAUGCAUAGAUAUUACACAGAAUACCGAUUGCGAAAGCAGAUUACUAACAAUAUACUGACGCUGAGGGACGAAAGCGUGGGUAGCGAACAGGAUUAGAUACCCUGGUAGUCCACACCGUAAACGAUGGAUACUAGCUGUUGGAUUUUUUCAGUGGCUAAGCGAAAGUGGUAAGUAUCCCACCUGGGGAGUACGUUCGCAAGAAUGAAACUCAAAGGAAUUGACGGA